rnacentral:rRNA from 1 species
UUGGAAUUGCUAGUAAUCGCGGAUCAGCAUGCCGCGGUGAAUACGUUCCCGGGCCUUGUACACACCGCCCGUCACACCAUGGAAGUCGGUAAUGCCCGAAGUCAGUAGCCUAACCGCAAGGAGGACGCUGCCGAAGGCAGGAUUGAUGACUGGGGUGAAGUCGUAACAAGGUAAC